AAGCUAAUGUUUUUAUGUUUUGAAAACAUAAUUAGAGAUCUUUUCUCUUAGCUUU
rnacentral:tRNA from 1 species